rnacentral:tRNA from 1 species
GUCGGGAUAGCUCAGUUGGUAGAGCAGAGGACUGAAAAUCCUCGUGUCACCAACGUAUUCGUAAAGUAUUUGG